GUAUUCUAAGGCGCUUGAGAGAACUCUGGAGAAGGAACUCGGCAAAUUGACACCGUAACUUCGGAAGAAGGUGUGCCUUUAGUAGGUGAACCAUUUACUUGGGGAGCCCAAUGAGGCCGCAGAGAAUCGGUGGCUGCAACUGUUUAUUAAAAACACAGCACUCUGCAAAGACGAAAGUCGACGUAUAGGGUGUGACUCCUGCCCGGUGCUGGAAGAUUAAAUGAUGGGGUGCAAGCUCUUGACUGAAGUCCCAGUAAACGGCGGCCGUAACAAUAACGGUCCUAAGGUAGCGAAAUUCCUUGUCGGGUAAGUUCCGACCUGCACGAAUGGAGUAAUGAUGGCCACACUGUCUCCUCCAGAGACUCAGCGAAGUUGAAAUGUUUGUGAUGAUGCAAUCUCCCCGCGGAAAGACGGAAAGACCCCAUGAACCUUUACUGUAGCUUUACAUUGGACUUUGAACAGAUCUGUGUAGGAUAGGUGGGAGGCUUUGAAACCAGGACGCUAGUUUUGGUGGAGCCAACGUUGAAAUACCACCCUGGUGUGUUUGAGGUUCUAACCUUGGCCCGUUAUCCGGGUCGGGGACAGUGUAUGGUGGGCAGUUUGACUGGGGCGGUCUCCUCCCAAAGUGUAACGGAGGAGUUCGAAGGUACGCUAAAUACGGUCGGAAAUCGUGUUGAUAGUGCAUUGGCAUAAGCGUGCUUGACUGCGAGACUGACAAGUCGAGCAGGUACGAAAGUAGGACAAAGUGAUCCGGUGGUUCUGUAUGGAAGGGCCAUCGCUCAACGGAUAAAAGGUACUCUGGGGAUAACAGGCUGAUACCGCCCAAGAGUUCAUAUCGACGGCGGUGCUUGGCACCUCGAUGUCGGCUCAUCUCAUCCUGGGGCUGUAGCCGGUCCCAAGGGUAUGGCUGUUCGCCAUUUAAAGAGGUACGUGAGCUGGGUUUAAAACGUCGUGAGACAGUUUGGUCCCUAUCUUCCGUGGGCGCUGCAAGAUUGAGAGAGCCUGCUCCUAGUACGAGAGGACCGGAGUGGACGCACCUCUGGUGUAUCGGUUGUCACGCCAGUGGCAUUGCCGAGUAGCUAAGUGCGGAAGAGAUAACCGCUGAAAGCAUCUAAGUGGGAAACUCGUCUCAAGAUGAGUCUUGCCGGGGCCUUGAGCCCCCUGAAGAGUCGUUCGAGACCAGGACGUUGAUAGGCUGGGUGUGGAAGCGCAGUAAUGCGUUAAGCUAACCAGUACUAAUUGCUCGUGAGGCUUGACCCG
rnacentral:rRNA from 1 species